UGGGUAACCUGCCUCAAAGAGGGGAAUAGCCUCCCGAAAGGGAGAUUAAUACCGCAUAAUAUGUUUAAGUCGCAUGACUUUAACAUCAAAGGAUUUUCUUUUAGAACUUCCACUUUGAGAUGGACCCGCGGCGCAUUAGCUAGUUGGCGAGGUAACGGCUCACCAAGGCAACGAUGCGUAGCCGACCUGAGAGGGUGAUCGGCCACAUUGGAACUGAGACACGGUCCAGACUCCGUAGGGAG
rnacentral:rRNA from 1 species